rnacentral:rRNA from 1 species
AGAGUUUGAUCAUGGCUCAGAUUGAACGCUGGCGGCAGGCCUAACACAUGCAAGUCGAGCGGAAACGAGAAGUAGCUUGCUACUUCGGCGUCGAGCGGCGGACGGGUGAGUAAUGCCUAUGAAAUUGCCCUGAUGUGGGGGAUAACCAUUGGAAACGAUGGCUAAUACCGCAUAAUGCCUUCGGGCCAAAGAGGGGGACCUUCGGGCCUCUCGCGUCAGGAUAUGCCUAGGUGGGAUUAGCUAGUUGGUGAGGUAAUGGCUCACCAAGGCGACGAUCCCUAGCUGGUCUGAGAGGAUGAUCAGCCACACUGGAACUGAGACACGGUCCAGACUCCUACGGGAGGCAGCAGUGGGGAAUAUUGCACAAUGGGCGCAAGCCUGAUGCAGCCAUGCCGCGUGUAUGAAGAAGGCCUUCGGGUUGUAAAGUACUUUCAGCAGUGAGGAAGGGGUGUACGUUAAUAGCGUGCAUCCUUGACGUUAGCUGCAGAAGAAGCACCGGCUAACUCCGUGCCAGCAGCCGCGGUAAUACGGAGGGUGCGAGCGUUAAUCGGAAUUACUGGGCGUAAAGCGCAUGCAGGUGGUUCGUUAAGUCAGAUGUGAAAGCCCGGGGCUCAACCUCGGAACUGCAUUUGAAACUGGCGGGCUAGAGUACUGUAGAGGGGGGUAGAAUUUCAGGUGUAGCGGUGAAAUGCGUAGAGAUCUGAAGGAAUACCAGUGGCGAAGGCGGCCCCCUGGACAGAUACUGACACUCAGAUGCGAAAGCGUGGGGAGCAAACAGGAUUAGAUACCCUGGUAGUCCACGCCGUAAACGAUGUCUACUUGGAGGUUGUGGCCUUGAGCCGUGGCUUUCGGAGCUAACGCGUUAAGUAGACCGCCUGGGGAGUACGGUCGCAAGAUUAAAACUCAAAUGAAUUGACGGGGGCCCGCACAAGCGGUGGAGCAUGUGGUUUAAUUCGAUGCAACGCGAAGAACCUUACCUACUCUUGACAUCCAGAGAAGCCAGCGGAGACGCAGGUGUGCCUUCGGGAACUCUGAGACAGGUGCUGCAUGGCUGUCGUCAGCUCGUGUUGUGAAAUGUUGGGUUAAGUCCCGCAACGAGCGCAACCCUUAUCCUUGUUUGCCAGCGAGUAAUGUCGGGAACUCCAGGGAGACUGCCGGUGAUAAACCGGAGGAAGGUGGGGACGACGUCAAGUCAUCAUGGCCCUUACGAGUAGGGCUACACACGUGCUACAAUGGCGCAUACAGAGGGCAGCCAACCAGCGAUGGUGAGCGAAUCCCAAAAAGUGCGUCGUAGUCCGGAUUGGAGUCUGCAACUCGACUCCAUGAAGUCGGAAUCGCUAGUAAUCGUGAAUCAGAAUGUCACGGUGAAUACGUUCCCGGGCCUUGUACACACCGCCCGUCACACCAUGGGAGUGGGCUGCAAAAGAAGUAGGUAGUUUAACCUUUCGGGGAGGACGCUUACCACUUUGUGGUUCAUGACUGGGGUGAAGUCGUAACAAGGUAGCCCUAGGGGAACCUGGGGCUGGAUCACCU